ACGUAGGGUGCGAGCGUUAAUCGGAAUUACUGGGCGUAAAGCGUGCGCAGGCGGUGAGUUAAGUCUGCUGUGAAAGCCCCGGGCUCAACCUGGGAACGGCAGUGGAAACUGGCUCGCUGGAGUAUGGCAGAGGGGGGUGGAAUUCCGCGUGUAGCAGUGAAAUGCGUAGAGAUGCGGAGGAACACCGAUGGCGAAGGCAGCCCCCUGGGCCAAUACUGACGCUCAGGCACGAAAGCGUGGGGAGCAAACAGGAUUAGAUACCCUGGUAGUCCACGCCCUAAACGAUGUCAACUGGGUGUUGGGGAAGCGAUUCCUUGGUACCGUAGCUAACGCGUGAAGUUGACCGCCUGGGGAGUACGGCCGCAAGGUUA
rnacentral:rRNA from 1 species